rnacentral:rRNA from 1 species
UGGGGAAUAUUGGACAAUGGGCGCAAGCCUGAUCCAGCCAUGCCGCGUGCAGGAUGACGGUCCUAUGGAUUGUAAACUGCUUUUGUACAGGAAGAAACAGUUCUACGUGUAGAACCUUGACGGUACUGUAAGAAUAAGGAUCGGCUAACUCCGUGCCAGCAGCCGCGGUAAUACGGAGGAUCCAAGCGUUAUCCGGAAUCAUUGGGUUUAAAGGGUCCGUAGGCGGUUAGAUAAGUCAGUGGUGAAAGCCCAUCGCUCAACGGUGGAACGGCCAUUGAUACUGUCUGACUUGAAUUAUUAGGAAGUAACUAGAAUAUGUAGUGUAGCGGUGAAAUGCUUAGAGAUUACAUGGAAUACCAAUUGCGAAGGCGGGUUACUACUAAUGGAUUGACGCUGAUGGACGAAAGCGUGGGUAGCGAACAGGAUUAGAUACCCCGGUAGUCCCUGAGCGGGCUGGCAAGGCGCAU